AUGGAUGUUAUAUACAUCUUAUAAUGGAUCUUAUAUAUAUAUAUAUCGUAUAAUGAAGUAUCUCAUGAGUGAUAUAUAUGAAUCCAAAUCUACCGAAUCAAUAAUGUUAUGAUCUUCUACGUCCUAGGUCUUCCCGUUCCUUCAUCUGGCUUAUGUUCUUCAUGUAGCAUUCAGACCAAAUGACUCUAUGAAAUUACGUCGAUACUUCCACAUAUUAUGGGUAAUGUAGGAGACAUCUCUAUUUUCGCUAGGGAAUCCUUUGAAUUAACACUUCUUAGCUUUCAAUUUGCCCUGACUAUCAAAUGAAAUGUGAAUAAUCCGUCCUCCUCUCUUUGAAACAAGGGGCGCUUAUGGUUUUGUCGAUGCU